CCUACGGGUGGCAGCAGUGAGGAAUAUUGGUCAAUGGCCGAGAGGCUGAACCAGCCAAGUCGCGUGAGGGAAGACGGCCCUACGGGUUGUAAACCUCUUUUGUCGGGGAGCAAAGCGAGUCACGUGUGACUCAUUGUGAGUACUCGAUGAAAAAGCAUCGGCUAACUCCGUGCCAGCAGCCGCGGUAAUACGGAGGAUGCGAGCGUUAUCCGGAUUUAUUGGGUUUAAAGGGGGCGUAGGCGGUGGUGCAAGUCAGCGGUCAAAUUGUGGGGCUCAACCCCGUACUGCCGUUGAUACUGGAAGCCUUGAGUGCGCGAGAAGUAUGCGGAAUGCGUGGUGUAGCGGUGAAAUGCAUAGAUAUCACGAAGAACUCCGAUUGCGAAGGCAGCAUACCGGCGCGCAACUGACGCUGAUGCACGAAAGCGUGGGUAUCGAACAGGAUUAGAUACCCGAGUAGUC
rnacentral:rRNA from 1 species